rnacentral:rRNA from 1 species
GACGGAGGAUGCAAGCGUUAUCCGGAAUGAUUGGGCGUAAAGCGUCUGCAGGUGGCAGUUCAAGUCUGCUGUCAAAGACCGGGGCUUAACUUCGGAAAGGCAGUGGAAACUGAACAGCUAGAGUAUGGUAGGGGCAGAGGGAAUUCCUGGUGUAGCGGUGAAAUGCGUAGAGAUCAGGAAGAACAUCGGUGGCGAAGGCGCUCUGCUGGACCACAACUGACACUCAGGGACGAAAGCUAGGGGAGCGAAUGGG